rnacentral:rRNA from 1 species
CAGUCGCCGCGGUAAAACAGAGGGUGCAAGCGUUAAUCGGAAUUACUGGGCGUAAAGCGCGCGUAGGUGGUUCAUUAAGUUGGAUGUGAAAGCCCUGGGCUCAACCUGGGAACUGCAUCCAAAACUGGUGAGCUAGAGUACGGUAGAGGGUAGUGGAAUUUCCUGUGUAGCGGUGAAAUGCGUAGAUAUAGGAAGGAACACCAGUGGCGAAGGCGACUACCUGGACUGAUACUGACACUGAGGUGCGAAAGCGUGGGGAGCAAACAGGAUUAGAUACCCCCGUAGUCCCUGUCUCUUAUAC